ACGGGAGGCAGCAGUGGGGGAUAUUGCACAAUGGGGGAAACCCUGAUGCAGCAAUGCCGCGUGAGGGAAGAAGGUCUUCGGAUUGUAAACCUAAGUAGACAGGGACGAUAAUGACGGUACCUGUAAAGUAAGCUCCGGCUAACUACGUGCCAGCAGCCGCGGUAAUACGUAGGGAGCGAGCGUUGUCCGGAUUUACUGGGUGUAAAGGGUGCGUAGGCGGGUCAGCAAGUCAGGCGUGAAAUACCGAGGCUUAACUUCGGAGCUGCGCUUGAAACUGUCGAUCUUGAGUGAAGUAGAGGCAAGCGGAAUUCCUAGUGUAGCGGUGAAAUGCGUAGAUAUUAGGAGGAACACCAGUGGCGAAGGCGGCUUGCUGGGCUUUAACUGACGCUGAAGCACGAAAGUAUGGGGAGCAAACAGGAUUAGAUACCCUGGUA
rnacentral:rRNA from 2 species